AGCCUAGAAGUGUUGUUACCGGUCCCACGGCUCAUCUCUCACUCAAGGAUAAAGUAGUCCAUGUUCUCAUGAGGGACAGAGAUUCAAAGGACUACAUUUCCUUCUUUUUUGACUGCCAGAACUCAGGCAGUUUAUCUGGAACUCCCUUUGACCUUCAAUGAAAAAUCAGUAUAGAUAUCCUCUUGAAAUAAAUACUUCUGUGGAUUCCAAGCCUGUCCAGAACACCCAAGACAUUCUUUAGCUGGCUUCUUUUUCUGUGAACACACUCCUAUGGCUGGGAACCAAAAUUUCUCUUUUCAGAUCUACAUCUCAGGCCACUUUCAGCUUAGGUUGCUCCUUGUUGUAUCUAUCAUUGAAUACAGACAGAAUCACUGAAUGUGGCAGCUUCAAGGAACCAGAGAGAUUAGGAAAUCAUAAAGAAUAAGAAAGAUGAUUUCUUGAUGCAGAAUGAAGAGACAUCAAUCAAAUAUUGCCAGACUAAACUUGAUCAGCUUUCAAAGACACUAAUAAAAAGUAUCCCAGCAGGAACUUUCUCUGUUCCUGGAGGUCAUGAACUCUACAGGAAAGCAAAGGAAAUUAUUGAAAAGGAAUAUCACCAAGUGCCCAUGAAAGGAGUGAAGGGAAAUGAGUUCCUCCAGAGAUUUCUGCAGUCCCAGGUGGCAAUAGAGAAAUCCUGCAGGCAGAUAAAGCCCUCACUGAUGGGGAGAAGCCCAUAGCAGGAGCUUCCUUCCUUUCUGUGGAACAACCCCGCUGUGUCUGGAAACAGCAAAGGGAACUGUGAUUGGAUGCCAGACAGACAGAGCCUUUUCUCUCACAUUCUGAAGUGUGGUCUUGAUGAGGAGUGGACCAGGAAUGAGAGAUCUGAUAAGGAACAGUAGCUGCUGAAACAGAAACUGCAGGAGCAGCAGCAGCAGGUGGAGGCUCAGAAGAGAAGUCUCCAGAAACACAUAGUCCAUAUGAUGGAGAAGCUGGUGGGGGAAAGAGAAAACCUGCUGAGAGAGCCAAACAAGAUAUUGGAGCAUCAGCUGAAGGUGAAUCAGGCUGUGGCAGUAGUAGAGCUUGAUAGCUUUGCCCUGGUACCUCAGGAAGGGAUGGGUGAAGGUUACAGCAAGAUCAUGCAGAGAUCAGAAGUGCAUCUACUGCUUGUGAUUUAUUAAAACCCUGAAGCCUUUGAAUCCUUCCAAAACCUUUAAAUUCGGCUCUGUAAGUAGACUUUGGAGUGUUCACGAUGAGUAUGCCCCCCCUACUCCAAGCCCUCAGAGAAUAUAAAUAGGGUUGAAUUGCCACUUAGAG